rnacentral:rRNA from 1 species
UACGAAGGGGGCGAGCGUUGUUCGGAAUUACUGGGCGUAAAGGGCGCGCAGGCGGCUUACGUAGUCAGGCGUGAAAGCCCCGGGCUUAACCUGGGAAUUGCGUUUGAUACUCGUGAGCUUGAGUAUGGGAGAGGAGAGUGGAAUUCCCAGUGUAGAGGUGAAAUUCGUAGAUAUUGGGAAGAACACCAGUGGCGAAGGCGGCUCUCUGGACCAUUACUGACGCUGAGGCGCGAAAGCGUGGGGAGCAAACAGG